UUUGGGAGUGCUCGCAAGACGAACCGGAACACAGGUGCUGCAUGGCUGUCGUCAGCUCGUGUCGUGAGAUGUUGGGUUAAGUCCCGCAACGAGCGCAACCCUUGUCAUUAGUUGCCAUCAUUUGGUUGGGCACUCUAAUGAGACUGCCGGUGACAAACCGGAGGAAGGUGGGGAUGACGUCAAGUCCUCAUGGCCCUUAUGGGUAGGGCUUCACACGUCAUACAAUGGUCGGUACAGAGGGUUGCCAACCCGCGAGGGGGAGCUAAUCCCACAAAGCCGAUCGUAGUCCGGAUCGCAGUCUGCAACUCGACUGCGUGAAGUCGGAAUCGCUAGUAAUCGUGGAUCAGCAUGUCACGGUGAAUACGUUCCCGGGUCUU
rnacentral:rRNA from 1 species